rnacentral:tRNA from 1 species
GCCAGGGUAGCUCAACGGCAGAGCGAGGCUUUCAUAAGGCCGAGGUUGUGGGUUCGAAUCCCGCCCCUGGCA